UGCGUUAGGGCAAGGGGCAGCGCCAGAACUGCCAAAGUGAGCGGCGCGUCAUAGAAGCGUAAGUUCGUUUUGCGUUCGCCAGUAUCAGGCAGGCAUACAAGCGAAACCGACCGCGUAAAAAGGGUGUAUGCCAUCGGCAGGCAAGUAAGCCAUUCCCAAGUGUGCUGCCGGGGUCUAGCGAUGCAGCGCGUUCUGGUAAACAACUCUGGGGAAAACCGCUCGUGAACGAACCACGGGCGGCUUUUC
rnacentral:ncRNA from 1 species